UGAGGAAUAUUGGUCAAUGGACGCAAGUCUGAACCAGCCAAGUAGCGUGCAGGAUGACGGCCCUAUGGGUUGUAAACUGCUUUUAUAUGGGGAUAAAGUGGGGAACGUGUUCCCUUUUGCAGGUACCAUAUGAAUAAGGACCGGCUAAUUCCGUGCCAGCAGCCGCGGUAAUACGGAAGGUUCGGGCGUUAUCCGGAUUUAUUGGGUUUAAAGGGAGCGUAGGCCGUUUGGUAAGCGUGUUGUGAAAUGUAGGAGCUCAACUUCUAGAUUGCAGCGCGAACUGUCAGACUUGAGUGCGCACAACGUAGGCGGAAUUCAUGGUGUAGCGGUGAAAUGCUUAGAUAUCAUGAAGAACUCCGAUUGCGAAGACAGCUUACGGGAGCGCAACUGACGCUGAAGCUCGAAGGUGCGGGUAUCGAACAGG
rnacentral:rRNA from 1 species